rnacentral:rRNA from 1 species
UAAGGAAUAUUGCUCAAUGGGAGAAAUCCUGAAGCAGCAACGCCGCGUGGAGGAUGAAGGGUCUAUGACUUGUAAACUCCUGUAAAGAAGGAAAAAAUUCCCAUUUGAUGGGAGAUGAUGGUACUUCUGGAGUAAGCCCCGGCUAACUAAGUGCCAGCAGCAGCGGUAAUACGUAGGGGGCAAGCGUUGUCCGGAUUUACUGGGUGUAAAGGGUGCUCAGGCGGAAUUGUAAGUCAGAGGUGAAAUCUUACAGCUUAACUGUGAAACUGCCUUUGAUACUGCAAGCCUAGAGUAUGGAAGAGAGUGAUGGAAUAUCUGGUGAAGCAGUGAAAUGCGUAGAUAUCAGAUAGAACACCAGUGGCGAAGGCAGUCACUUGGUCCAUUACUGACGCUAAAGCACGAAAGCGU